rnacentral:rRNA from 1 species
UGGGGAAUCUUCCGCAAUGGGCGAAAGCCUGACGGAGCAAGACCGCGUGGGGGAGGAAGGUUUUUGGAUCGUAAACCCCUUUUGUCAAGGAAAGAAGCUCUGACGGUACUUGACGAAUAAGCCUCGGCUAACUCCGUGCCAGCAGCCGCGGUAAUACGGAGGAGGCAAGCGUUAUCCGGAAUGAUUGGGCGUAAAGCGUCUGUAGGUGGCCAGCUAAGUCUGCUGUUAAAGAUCACAGCUCAACUGUGGGAAGGCAGUGGAAACUGGCAAGCUAGAGGUUGGUAGGGGUAAAGGGAAUUCCCGGUGUAGCGGUGAAAUGCGUAGAUAUCGGGAAGAACACCGGUGGCGAAAGCGCUUUACUGGGCCAGACCUGACACUGAAGGACGAAAGCUAGGGGAGCGAAAGGGAUUAGAUACCCCUGUAGUC